AUGCAAGCCUGUGAUCAUGUCACUAGUAUAGAAAAUGCCCUCAGAGUGAAUGAUUUCGUCGUGGCAAGCAUGAGUGACUGCGCCCAAUCAAGUGCUUGUUUCCUUGGUAAUGUCUUUGAAAGAUGCACAACAGUCUCCUCUCAUGAUAUUUUGGCAGAUAAUAAUGCUGAGGGAGUCGCGUUUGACUCCGGGAAAAGUGAAAGCCCUUUACCCGCUCCAUCUGCUUCACAAGGUGCAAGUACGCCAACAUUCCAUGUCAAAAGACCGGCCGAGUCCCAAGGUCCCAUUUGUAGGAAACGUAGACAUUCAAGAAAGGUAAACAUUCUCCCAGGCAAAGCCUCAACACCCAAGACUGUAGAGACUGCCUUUAGCACUGCAGCUUACAAAUGGAGAGGCACUGGCAGGGGAGGGAAUGCUUGAGCAAUGAAGCUGCUUCGGCCAAAAGUUUCUCUACUUAAUUCCAUUGGCCGCUUAUCCUGAGCUCGCGGAUUCUGAAUUGAGUAUUGACCCGGGUUAACAUUAUCUUCUCGGCCCUCUAUGACUUCACAUUGUACCUUAUCGCUGGAAAAACACGAAACGAAAUCGAGAGGAAAGUCUCGCAACCCUAACUUGUGUGGCUGGGACUGCAAGGUGCUCGUACAAUCUGGGGAAGCGGGUACUUGUACAACUCUGGUCAUUUCAGGAUGUUUUUGGUGGUCCAUCAUUCCAAAAUUCUGGCAUCCAGGUUUUCGAUCGAUUUGACGUCGUAGAAAAAGUUGUAUUUGUUCAUCCUUGUCAUGCCCCGUGCUAUAGCCCCGUGCCCCGUUAAACUGUGAACUUAUUAAAAUCAAUUAAUUUAUUUAACUUCAAAGGUUACUGUUUAGAACUUAAGUUAACAGCGUUUUCUAAUAUCACUUUCCAGUAAUCUUACUUUGUUACGACUUGUCUUAAUUUAUUUCACUGACGUGUUAGCAGACGCUGUUACGGCGUGUCUCGCGUCUGUCUCGUGUCUCCUCUUAGUGGCCGUGUUGGGCCAAUGUCAGUUGUCGAUGUAGCUUGCUGGAAUGUAGAGUGUUAAACUGAUCCUUUCGUUUUUCCUGAUUUUUUCUCGUCACCACAUCAUAACAUGGCGACCGUGACACAUUACCUCAACUUUUUUUUGAUUUUUUUAGUUUCGUGAAUCUAUAGAACUUUUAACGAAUUGAAUUGGGUGACUUGUGAAUUUCGUGAACCUGAAUUACCUAUGAAUUUAAUAAUUGGCUUUUUGUGAACUUUUGAGUUCUAACUGUGUCUCCUCUAGAAACCGACUAAACAACAUAGCUAAGCAUCUAAGCUUACGCUUAUAUUUCUCUAGAAUAUAAAGAGUUUGUGAAACAGAAAAAAACGAAAGCUGGAAUAAAACAAACAAACAAUUUAUAAAUAUUUAACCUACUUAAAUUAGACGUAUAUAUAACUCACAAACUCAGUACAGAAUUAUUAAUAAAUGACCAAAAAUUAUUUUAGAUUUUAGCCGAAUUCUUAAAUACUACGGCCGAAUUUAACCUGUAUUAUUUUCAAUUAAUACUAAAAAGGAAAUCAAUACCACUGGAGUUCCCAUGGGAACUUAAUGAGAAAAGGAUUCAUUACUAAAAUCAAACAGAGACAGAAUAAUUAAAGCCAACCAAAUAGGAAACCCCAAUCUAAUAGAGAAUACAAAAUGAGGCGAAGAAGAGAAAACAUAAGGAACCAAUCCCAAAAUAUUGAUAAGCAAAAUAAAAAAUAAUAUAGAGAUAAAUAAAAUUAUUCAAUUUUUUAUACUGUUAUAGAAAUAAAAAUUAGUAAAUUCUUCCGUCAAGAGCCGCAGUAAAAAAAACCAAAAUAAAGAACCUUUUCACAUAUUAUUUUUAAACACGAUGUCCAUGUUGGGCUUAGGUGCCCAUCGUCAGGUGAAUAAAAACGAAAUUUUGCUGCCCAAUCCUAAAGAGGCUGUGAAUUUAUAAUUUGGGCCAAUAAAAAGGACUGCACUUGCCAGACCGAACUCUUGUAGAUUACGCGUAGUUACGGGUUGCCUCUUGGAACGAGCUUCCUUAAACCGUGCGUACGUUACGUCGUUCACUUUCUGACACUUCGUCAGUUGAAUAAAAACGAAAUUUUGCUGCCCAUCCUAAAGAGGCCAUGAAUUUAUAAUUUGGGCCAAUAAAAGGGGCUGCACUUGCCAGACCGAACUCUUGUAUACGCGUAGUUGCGGGUUGCCUAUUGGAAUGAGCCUCCCUAAACCGUGCGUACGUUAGGUCGUUCACUUUCUGACACUUUAAGGGAUAUAAGUCUGACUUGGAGGUAGUCGCGGCUUAGUCGUCGGGCCUGUCUUUUAGCGGAAAAGGACCCAUAUAAAUACGUUUUACACUUCCGACGGAUCAUUCACCAACCUACAGAAUGCACCGCUUAUUACAACUCAUUUGGACUAGGUCAUUUACGUGCAAUCCUGUUGAACAUUGCCGAUAAUCAGUCAGUACUCUCCCACCAGUAUUGAACACUCGUUCAGUAGGUAUACGGUAGCCUGCACAGACAGAUAUUCUCUUCCGACUAUUGCCAGCCGAGGGAAUUCCUUCUGGUGGACCUGCCACCAUUUAGCAAUGUUUUCUGUCACAUCAACCCGCACCAUCUGCUUGUAUCGCCGAAUUUCAGACAAUGCCUGAUCUUAUGUGCGUGGUAAUAUUUGUUCAUAAACUUCAUCUAAAUUCAUUGGUAUGUGUAUGAUGGAUCCUUUUAGACAUAACUGUGAGUUAAUGGAAUGAGGCAGAACUUCUUUAAUUUGAAUAAAUGGAAUUCUUGGACUAACCAUUCUUUCUUCAGCAUUAAACACAUUUUUGACACUAUCUGAAAGUUCGGGGAACAUUAUUCCGUUACUUAAUGCAACUAGGGACAAUACAUUUUUCUUCGAGUAACUUAUACUUCUAAGACGCAAAAGCUGUGUGUCAUUUAAAAAUCUAUACUUCUCUCCGUUUGAUGUGCAUGCGCUUAAAUCUAAUGAUGAAAUAUUCUCUACUCCAUGUGGGAAAUUUAAACUGCCGCAACACAUGCAUGUUUAGUUGGACCUUUAGACAUCUCGCAGUGAAAUCUGUUGACUAAUUUUUUGCUAUUGUCGUUUAAGGCGCCAUAUUUACUCUGUCCGAAAAAUAAAAAGGAAAAAGUUAACGAUUGUGCAAUUAAGAAAGUUUCAUUGAUGAAAACACAUGACAUACAUACAUAUAUUUAAUCAAUCUAUUUUAAUUACAUUUUGUUUUAUGCUUAGUUAGACUUGUCGUUUCUAUAAUAAGAUCAUUCGCUGUGACAGGAUGAAUACACAUGAAAACCAAUUUAAUCAAAUAAUAUAUGGUUGGUUAUAAUGGAAAUUAACUACUUUAAGAGUCUAAAUACAAUCUACUACCUAUUCUACCAAGUAUAUGUAAAUACAAAAUGCAAUAGGAAAAACUGUAAACAUUAAUAAUAAAUCUACCAAAACGUCCUAUACGCAUCUUGUCAAAAUGAAUUAAUGUUCAUAAUGGAAUACAUGUUUCAAAUCAGCAUAUUGAACAGUAAAUAGGAACUAAACAGUCAGUCAGGUAAGAACCUCUAUUUUGUAAAAUUUGAUAAGUUCCCUUAUAAAAUGAUCUAUUAAUUGGUUACAUAUUUUUGCUGCGUAACAUGUACCUGCCGAGAGAGCCUAUGGAUAUAUAAGCUGAAUAAAUAAAAAGAGAAUCUAUGUUUUUUUCAUGCAGUAUGCGUGUCAAAGUCAGGAAAUUUCCUAUGUGAAAAUGAACCUGUUAAGCAACUAUAUGAGUGGUGCUUUGUCCACCGUUUUCCAUUUUUUUGCUUAGUCAAAUUAUUUUGUAGCUUUAUGAUAUUUGCCAAUUACUGUUUUGUGUAAUUGAAAUAUUAUGAAACAUAAUAUUAUUCAUUUAAAUAAACAAAACUUUGAAUAGUGAUACAUCAAUGAAUUCAUCAUAAUAAUUCAACCCGGCCUCCUGUGGUGUUCACUGAUCGCCUUUGGUUGAAAUCACAAGUGUGAGCAUUAAACAUUUUUACAGUUUUACGCACAUCUUCUUCAUUGAUUGAGGCACAUUAAUCAUUCCACAGAUCCCCAUCUGUCUCAUUACCGUCGUUGUCAGAAACUACUAUUUUCUUUUUGUCAUAUGACUGGUCAUUUUUUUCUGGAUAGAUAUGUUCAACAUCAUAUACUAUACGAAUUCUACCUUUAACAUUAACGAUUGGUUUUUCUGGGAAUGAAUAAACUUCUGGGAUGUUAUUGUAUUGAGAAUGCCUGUUAAUUCAUUGGAGUUUUCAUCCCCUACGAUUUUUUGAUAAUGGUAUUUCUGUUUAGUGUUAUUUCAUACGUAUGAUUUCCCGUAUUCCAUCGUUUAUUGGCUUCCUUCACUGUACCAUUUUCAUCGCUAAACGUUAAAUUUGGUUUCACUAUUCGAUCAACAUCAGUAGCCGUCUCGCUGAAUGCAGUCCGUAAUAUUUCAGCAGAUACAUCUUUAAUCUAGAAUUUAAUUGAUUUCCCUUUUUUUACUGGACUUUUGUAUGUUCUAAGAUUAGUCACGGUGACGUUCCCAUGAGCAGAAAAGAAAUUAGCUAUUCCUAGCAUAUCUGUUUAACUGAGGGUGGGCCCCUACACGAAUAACAUAACUAAAACACGUAACACAACAACACUAAAAACGUACAACUGAAUAUACACACAUAAUAAAAAAAACACCAAAAAGACUUACAUCUAUGUAACUAAAAAAAAUUUUUUUUUUUUUUUUAAAUAAUAUAAAGGGACUCUUUCGAUCGGUCAUUUAGCUAUUACAGCCCCAAAAUACUUUAAAAUCUAC
rnacentral:lncRNA from 1 species